AGUCGAACGGACUUAAUCGAAAUAUUUAUAUUUUGAAGCGGUUAGUGGCGGACUGGUGAGUAACGCGUAAGGAACCUGCCUAUUAGAGGGGAAUAACAGUGAGAAAUCAUUGCUAAUACCGCAUAUGCCAUAGAUAUCACAUGAUAACAGUGGGAAAGGAGCAAUCCGCUAAUAGAUGGCCUUGCGUCUGAUUAGAUAGUUGGUGGGGUAACGGCCUACCAAGUCGACGAUCAGUAGCCGGACUGAGAGGUUGAACGGCCACAUUGGGACUGAGAUACGGCCCAGACUCCUACGGGAGGCAGCAGUCGGGAAUAUUGCGCAAUGGAGGAAACUCUGACGCAGUGACGCCGCGUAUAGGAAGAAGGUUUUCGGAUUGUAAACUAUUGUCGUUAGGGAAGAGAAAGGACAGUACCUAAGGAGGAAGCUCCGGCUAACUACGUGCCAGCAGCCGCGGUAAUACGUAGGGAGCGAGCGUUAUCCGGAAUUAUUGGGUGUAAAGGGUGCGUAGACGGGAGAACAAGUUAGUUGUGAAAUACCUCGGCUCAACUGAGGAACUGCAACUAAAACUGUACCUCUUGAGUGCAGGAGAGGUAAGUGGAAUUCCUAGUGUAGCGGUGAAAUGCGUAGAUAUUAGGAGGAACACCAGUGGCGAAGGCGACUUACUGGACUGUAACUGACGUUGAGGCACGAAAGUGUGGGGAGCAAACAGGAUUAGAUACCCUGGUAGUCCACACCGUAAACGAUGGAUACUAGGUGUAGGAGGUAUUAAGCCUUCUGUGCCGUCGCAAACGCAGUAAGUAUCCCACCUGGGG
rnacentral:rRNA from 1 species